UACGAAGGGGACUAGCGUUGUUCGGAAUUACUGGGCGUAAAGCGCACGUAGGCGGCUUUGCAAGUUAGAGGUGAAAGCCCGGGGCUCAACUCCGGAAUUGCCUUUAAAACUGCAUCGCUAGAAUUGUGGAGAGGUAAGUGGAAUUCCGAGUGUAGAGGUGAAAUUCGUAGAUAUUCGGAAGAACACCAGUGGCGAAGGCGACUUACUGGACACAUAUUGACGCUGAGGUGCGAAAGCGUGGGGAGCAAACAGG
rnacentral:rRNA from 1 species